rnacentral:rRNA from 1 species
GAUGAACGCUGGCGGCGUGCCUAAUACAUGCAAGUCGAGCGAACGGACGAGAAUCUUGCUUCUCUGAUGUUAGCGGCGGACGGGUGAGUAACACGUGGAUACCCUACCUAUAAGACUGGGAUAACUUCGGGAAACCGGAUCUAAUACCGGAUAAUAUUUUGAACCGCAUGGUUCAAAAGUGAAAGACGGUCUUGCUGUCCCUUAUAGAUGGAUCCGCGCUGCAUUAGCUAGUUGGUAAGGUAACGGCUUACCAAGGCAACGAUGCAUAGCCGACCUGAGAGGGUGAUCGGCCACACUGGAACUGAGACACGGUCCAGACUCCUACGGGAGGCAGCAGUAGGGAAUCUUCCACAAUGGGCGAAAGCCUGACGGAGCAAUGCCGCGUGAGUGAUGAAGGUCUUCGGAUCGUAAAACUCUGUUAUUAGGGAAGAACAUAUGUGUAAGUAAAUGUGCACAUCUUGACGGUACCUAAUCAGAAAGCCACGGCUAACUACGUG